rnacentral:rRNA from 1 species
GACAGAGGUGCCAAGCGUUAGGCGAAAUCACUGGGCUUAAAGCGUGUGUAGGCGGAUGCCUAAGUACCUUGUGAAAUCCUGGGGCUCAACCCUGGAACUGCAUUGGAUACUGCCUUGCUAGAGUACUGGAGAGGAAACUGGAAUUUACGGUGUAGCAGUGAAAUGCGUAGAGAUCGUAAGGAAGACCAGUGGCGAAGGCGAGUUUCUGGACAGUUACUGACGCUGAGGCACGAAGGCCAGGGGAGCAAACGGG